GACGAACCGUGCGAACGUUAUUCGGAAUCACUGGGCUUAAAGCGCGUGUAGGCGGGAGGGCACGUCCGUCGCUGAAAUCCCCCGGCUCAACCGGGGAACGGGCGCGGAUACGACCUUCCUGGAGGGGCGUAGGGGGACCUGGAACUUCCGGUGGAGCGGUGAAAUGCGUUGAGAUCGGAAGGAACGCCCGUGGCGCAAGCGAGGUCCUGGACGCCUACUGACGCUGAGACGCGAAAGCCAGGGGAGCGAACGGG
rnacentral:rRNA from 1 species